rnacentral:lncRNA from 1 species
GCAUUGAGGGCGCAGGAGGGUUGUGUGGGAGGGGUAGGCAAUAUGCGAGACGGGCUUGUGUGCGGAGGGGUAGGUGGGCGCUGCUUUUUUCCGUAUGGGAGGGUGGCCAGGGAGUGUUGUGGUGUGAUGGUGCGUGGGAGGGGCUUAUGGCGGUGCUAUAGGGUGGUGUGAGGUGGGUGUAGGUUAGGUUUUGGGUGUUCUUUUUGAGCUAAAAUUAGCCGCUGGCUAGGGUUCUCACUAAUGAUGUGCUUGAGGG